GGGGGGGGGAAGGUGCAAUCCCAGUACAUGGUCCAAGAAAGAGAAACUUCAAAGAUAAGAGAGGGGAAGGAGAGAGAAGAACUGGGAAGAAAAAUACACCCAAAAUCUGGAACAUAAAUAUAACUAAGUAUAAACCUUGUGAAGCAAAGAGAUCAACCAGAAUCCCAGCUUGAGUUCACAUACAUACUCUGCUAUUCAUUACCCUCAAUAAAUCUGAAACAUACCAACCAAUACAGAUGUUUAAUCUAUGCCACUCAUAUUCUUUAUCUAAGACAUCCGCUCCCAACUACCCAAUAUCUUCACAAGCAUCUAGUCUCUUGCUGACAGGCAUAACACAUUGACCACCAAAAUAAAAGUGAAAAACAUCAACCACAUCCACAACUGAACAGUGCAAAAGUAAACAAUCAAUUGUAUCCCUAUGCCUCAUUGCACCGAUGGCAACUAACAAUAAACAGCAUAAUGUUUUCAGAAAGUCCUUGCUUGUUCUUCAACAAAGAGUUGGCACAACCAAGCAGAAAACCCAGAACAUGUAUAUUGAUUAAUGGAGAAACAUCCAUCAGCUAUACCAACAGCAAUAACAUUCCAAGAAUUUUAUACCACACAGGUGGCCACAUUUCAAACUCCCAUAACCAAGAUAGCCUCUGCCCAAAUCUUUAGCACAGCAAACACCAUAAAAUGAGGAACACCCAUGAAAUGAAAUCCAAUUCUGUGCAUUUCUGAUCCAAUAAAAAAUAAUUUGUUUUCGUGAACACACAAGGAUCUGGAACAAUAGUCAGUCCCACAACCUAAAAAAGCAUUAUUUAAGGGGAAUUUGCCAGCAGAUAGACAAUUGGAAGAUCCAUCCAGCAUUUUUUGCCAAAAUAUGCAUGUCAGAAAUGUGUUUGAUUGUAGAAACUCUUUCUCUUGCAAACAAUGAUUAAUAAACAUGUGCAAUCAGAGGCAAGGAGGUGAAAAAGGGGCCUUCUUAUAGCACUUUUAAUAAGAACAAUAAGAUGAAAAAUUGCUGCUCUAUACUUUCCAAUCCUCUAUCUUAUCAUAAAAUAAAUAUUAAAAGUGGCAGCAGAAGCAACAGGAAAUAAUAAUGUCUGAUAGACUCGAUAGGCUUGCAAAAUAACCCAAUAACACUGUUUUAGGCACUAAUUAUUUUCUCUAUCAAUCCUCAGUAAUCCACUAUGAGCAUCAUGGAGAAAGCUACAAUUUAUUUAGCAGCAUCAGAAAAAAAAAAAUUAAGAACAGGCACUGAGAAUUGAACCUCUAGCAGCAGGUCUAUAACACGCUUGAUCUGAGCUCCAACAGGGCCUUUCCGAAUACUGUUGAUGUGUUGUAGUCUCUCUGUGUCAUUUGAAAAUUUGACAGGUGGACCUGGAGUCCUAGGAUUUGUUAAUGGUGAUGCAGCUACAGGUGUACGUUUUUGAAUUGAAGCAGAUUUAGAAGGCCCUGCUUUGGCUGCAAUGCUGGUGAGGGUCGACUGGCACUUCUCUUGUUGCUUCUUGAAUCUAUCUAAUUUUUCUUGCAGCGCCAUCUAUGCACAGAAACGUCUGCAUCAACAAUGAAUAUUAAAAAAGUGGUCUUACAUAUUAAAUAACAUCCAGCAAGAAAAAAAAUUAACCCAUAGUGACCUUGUAAAGCCAGGAAAACAAAUUCUAGCACCUCCUUGAAGAUUCCAAAAUUAAGUGGUUGGUUCAAGCGCAUACAAUUUAUUUUCUAAUUUUCUAUAUGACUAAUCAACUUGGACUGUCAAAAAUUCAUGAUUAAAGAUCAAACGGCCAACAAAAUACACACCAACUAAAUUUCUUUUUUUUCACCCAGGAAAAAAAGAGUUUGUUCCAUCCGAUUUCUCCUUAAUAAAAAGAAAUUCAUCCACAAAAGCGAAGAAGAAACCCAUAACAAAGCGUCCAAAAAUCGAAAUUGUAGUAAAUAAAAAAACAUCAAAGACGUCAAAGCCAAAUAUCUUAACUCUGUUACCUGAUAAUACUCGAAACUUUGAUAGCGCACCUGCUAUCUCUUCCUUUCUGAUGAUUUAAUUGCCCUAAUUAUGGUUCCUAUCUGAUGAUUUUAUUGCUCUAAUUACAAUUGCAGUGGAAUAAAAGGAGGAUUAAGAUCGAGCAGGAAACAAUUAUAUGGGUAGAAAUACGAGGGAUGGGAAGGCUGUGAAGGAGAAAGCUAAGAUUGAAAUUGAAAGGAACAAACACUAAAUUCGAACACGAUAAUUUAAGUUAAACAAGAACAGGGAAAACCAUCGUCCAAUGAUAAAUCCCACUUGAAAUAUUCGAUCCAAGAAAUUAAAGCCUAAAAGCCCUAAGUCAAUGCAUAAACCAACUAAUAAUAGAGAGAAGAGCAAUAGAUAUGUAUAC
rnacentral:misc_RNA from 1 species